rnacentral:lncRNA from 1 species
GAAGUAAUCGGGCCUUCGACCUUGCUCAUGUUAGGGCGAGGUUCUCCUCCUGUCCCUGACAUGGCUGUGGGUGCGCUUAUAGGCACUGUAGGGCCUCUCUCCCCAUCCGAUCUAAAGUAACCGGACCUUCGACCUUGCUCAUGUUAGGACGAGGUUCUCCUCCUGUCCCUAACAUGGCUGUGGGGGCACGUAUGGGCGCUGUAGGGCCUCUCCUCCCAUCCAGUCUAAAAGUAAUCGGGCCUUCGACCUUGCUCAUGUUAGGGCGAGGUUCUCCUCCUGUCCCUAACAUGGCUGUGGGGGCGCGUAUGGGCGCUGUAGGGCCUCUCCCCCCAUCUGGUCUAAAAAUA